UUGUGUAUUCUUUUUCAUCACUGGAAGCCUGAAGGGCAUAAUUUUCUUAUUUCUGAAGAAUUCAAACAAGGGAGUUAUGCUCGUUCCUUUGAAAAUGGGACCCCCUAAUUCCACAGUGCCACAAUCUGUAUUUAGAUCAUCUGUUGAUCCAACAAAGGAGAAGUCCUCCAAGGGCCUUGAGAUAUGUUACGACAAAGCUGUUGAAUCGGGUAUUUGCUUCGGUCCCGAAAGAUGUGAGAUGUCAUGAAGAACUUUUUGAGAAGAUGUCUUUGCUACAACAGUUUAUACGUCCUGAAAGCUUGGAUAUAAAACCAGAAUAUCAGAAUGAAACGCAAUGGCUGGUAUGAAACUAACUUCCCCUCUUUAUCUCAGAAUUUUGUAUUUCAGUAGAGAUUCCUUUUUUUAGUUAUUUUAGAGAUUUCUCACCAACUAUUGUAACUCAUGAAGGUGGAAUUUAAGUUGACGUUGCUUGGAUAAAUGUGGCUAGGCCAAGUCUUUCUUCGGUAUCAGGAAUGAUUCUAGUAUUCAUCAUGGCAUGCUGCUGUUUUUUUAGCGAGGUAUCAAAUCUUAGUAUGAUGCACCAAGCAAAUGGACACUCUCCUUUUGGUGCGAUUUAUGAUUGUAUUUUGUCUUUUCAGUAUUUAAAAAUGGCUCAUCCACAGAAACAUAUGGCAGGCAUCAUAAAAAGAUAAUAACGUUCAUUGUGUUUCCUGUACUAGUUUAUAGGUGGCGACCUGUACAACACUAGGUUUUUUCAGCAGCAUCUGCAUACUUGGUCGAGCAUCAUUGUGAUUGUGCACUAUAAUCACUUCAUCAUUUUAAUCCUCCUUUGUCAAGUCUGAUUAUUUACAUCAAAACUGAACCACGCUUUUAAUUACCAUGCUCCUGCAUGACAGAUCCACGAUGCUACUGUAUGCAUGUACAAUGCUUUCUGGUACGGAUUUGUUGCUCAUGGUGCUGCGCUGCAGCAACCGCCGUCUGCUGGCUACGCCCCACCUAUCCAGAUCCAUCUGUGGCCGUUGUUGUGACGGUAUGCCCGCUUUUCUCCCUCUCUACCUUAUUGCUCUCUGCCCCCACAUUUCUCCAUUUUUUUCUCGCUAACCGACCCUCUUUGUAUUAUCUGAAUGUUGUUGUGUAGUGGUGCACACAUGUUAAAUGGGGACACAAGUAAACAGUGAAAAUAGUGUCAUAUGACUUCUGAAACAAUUUGAGUACUGGACACCAUGAUACAUGUUUUGUUGCUCAGCAUUCACCAGUUAAUACUAGUCCAUAUGUGUAUACCGUUAUCUUCUGAUUUUCUAGGGUUUAGGAGUUUGACUCGUUUCUUCUCGUACCCCUGCAUGAAUUGAUAUUCUUGUGCUUUAGUAACUUCUACUAUAUAUGCUUUACAACUAAGAACAUCCUGUAAAAUGUGAAACAGUUGUAUGUAUAUUUUAACCAAGCACAUCAGACUCACUAAUAAUAAUGAUGUUGUAUAGUUGCUGCUCUGCAUAGUUUAGUUAAAUUGCAUAUUUUAUCUUGCUAAUCCUCCCUGUUUCUUUUAUAAGUUAGCUCAGACUGGGUUCAGCUUGUUGAAGUCUGACCAUCAAAUUUGGAGGUAAUGUAUCAUGUUUAUUGAUGUCUGUUUAGAUUUCAUUUGCUGUCUAGUUUGGAAACAUAAUUGUGAACAUGGUAUGCAUAUUAUCUUUGAAUGCCAAGUUCUUUGCCCUUCAAGUAAGUUGUCACCUAACCGUCACCUAAACGAGCUAUUUCGAAAUAUAUUUGUUGCUGAUUGUGGGGGUGGCAGGCGGAAACUACACGAAUAUGAAAAUUAAAUCAUGCAAGCUUGAAUCCUAUAAUUUGAUGAUACUGCUUUGU